rnacentral:rRNA from 1 species
GAGGACUUCGGUCCUAGUGGCGAACGGUCGCGUAACACGUAAGCAACCUGCCCUGAAGUGGGGGACAACAUCCCGAAAGGGGUGCUAAUACCGCAUGUGGUCACGAGUCGGCAUCGACUUGUGUCUAAAGAUUUAUCGCUUCAGGAUGGGCUUGCGGCCUAUCAGGUAGUUGGUGGGGUAAUGGCCUACCAAGCCGACGACGGGUAGCUGGUCUGAGAGGACGAUCAGCCGGAUUGGGACUGAGAUACGGCCCAGACUCCUACGGGGGGCAGCAAUUAGGAAUCUUGCGCAAUGGGGGAAACCCUGACGCAGCGACGUCGCGUGAAGGAUGAAGGCCCUCGGGUCGUAAACUUCUUUUGAGUGGGAAGAAAUUUGACGGUACCACUCGAAUAAGCCCCGGCUAACUACGUGCCAGCAGCCGCGGUAAUACGUAGGGGGCGAGCGUUGUCCGAAGUUACUGGGCGUAAAGCGCGCGUAGGCGGUUAUUUAAGUCUGGGGUGAAAG